GACGAACGCUGGCGGCGUGCCUAAUACAUGCAAGUCGAACGAAAGCAACCGGUGCUUGCCCUGCUCAAUCUAGUGGCGAACGGGUGAGUAACACGUGGAUAACCUGCCCAUCAGAGGGGGAUAACAUCCGGAAACGGCUGCUAAAACCGCAUAAGUCUUCGAACCGCAUGGUUUGAAGAGGAAAAGGGCCUCAAGCUUCUGCUGAUGACUGGACCCGCGAUGCAUUAGCUAGUUGCUAAGGUAACGGCUCACCAAGGCCGUGAUGCAUAGCCGACCUGCGAGGGUGAUUAGGCACAGUGGCACUGAGACACGGCCCAUACUCCUACGGGAGGCAGCAGUAGGGACUAUUCUCAAAUGGGCGUAAGUCUGACGGAGCAAUACCGCGUGAGUGAAGAAGGUUUUCGGCGCGUAAAGCUCUUUUGCUGGAGAAGAACAAUUGCGAGAGGAACCCUCCGGGACGUGACGGUACCUAACCAGAAAGCAACGGCUAACUACGUG
rnacentral:rRNA from 1 species